rnacentral:sRNA from 1 species
AUCUCCUGAGCGCGUUCUCCUCCCAUUAGCGCUCAUGAGUGUUCCCCUCUGGAGGUUCAGCCGGAAACGGCACUUCCAAUUGACUCGGCCGGAUCUUUGGAUCCGGCCUUUUUU